CUAUUUUUGUAUAUAUACAUAUAUAUAUAUAUAUAUAUAUAUAUAUAUAUAUAUAUAUAUUUUAAUUGGGGUAGCCCCCAAAAUAUUGGGACAUAUAAAAAAAACACAACUCUGUUCCGCAGAGUAGCUGUUGACAUUAUAGUUGCAUUGGAGCUUUGUUGACUCUAGAGAACCUCGGGCAAAUCGCACAUCCCCGUGACGCGACUUUGCAUGCGGAUGUCAUCCAUAUCAACUUUUGAUGCCAAUUUCUGAGCCUACCAUGAUGACCACAGGUAACGGGGAAUCAGGGUUCCAUUCCGUACAGGGACACUGAGAAACGGCUACCACAUGCAAGGAAGGCAGCAGGCGCGCAAAUGACCCACUCCCGACGCGGGAAGGCAGUGACAAUAAAUAACAAUACAGGACUCUUUAGAGGCCCUGUAAUUGUAAUGAG